rnacentral:lncRNA from 1 species
AAAAAAAAAGUAUAGUGCUGAGGAAGUACUUCUUCACUUUGGCAAUGUGAUAGCAAAAAGGCAAAAUGGUGGUUUUGUAUCCCUGGACAUCAAGCGUCAUACUGCAAAUUGUCUUACAAUGCUAAGUACCUCAAGUCUAUUCCUCAGUCCUGUAAUUAUCUGGUAUACUUCAAAAAGCAAACUCAGUUUUGUCUGGCAUAUGGACUGAAGCCCCACACAUUCCAUUGUGAAGGUAUCACUAAUGAUGUGCUAGUUCUCGAGGAUGUACCAGAGUGCUGCAGCUAACACCCGAUAACACUGCUCACUCCAGUGCUGGCACACUUUGCCUGCUGAGUGUAAAAUCUCUCAUGAAACAGAUCUGAAGCAAUAAUUGGGAUCUGCAUUGACUUGCAGGACCAUGAGGCAAGUAGCACAGAAAUCAGUUCUCUCUCAUACUUCUCUUUUAUGGAGGCUAAAUAGAUGUCUUUGAAUGUCG